UGGGGAAUAUUGGACAAUGGGCGCAAGCCUGAUCCAGCAAUGCCGCGUGUGUGAAGAAGGCCUUCGGGUUGUAAAGCACUUUUAUCAGGAACGAAAAGCGUGGGGUUAAUACCUUUACGUGCUGACGGUACCUGAGGAAUAAGCACCGGCUAACUUCGUGCCAGCAGCCGCGGUAAUACGAAGGGUGCAAGCGUUAAUCGGAAUUACUGGGCGUAAAGCGUGCGUAGAUGGUUUGUUAAGUCGGAUGUGAAAGCCCCGGGCUCAACCUGGGAACUGCAUCCGAUACUGGCAGACUAGAGUGUGGUAGAGGAUGGCGGAAUUCCCGGUGUAGCGGUGAAAUGCGUAGAGAUCGGGAGGAACAUCCGUGGCGAAGGCGGCCAUCUGGACCAACACUGACGUUGAGGCACGAAAGCGUGGGGAGCAAACAGGAUUAGAUACCCCCGUAGUCCCUGAGCGGGCUGGCAAGGCGCAU
rnacentral:rRNA from 1 species